UACGGAGGGUGCAAGCGUUAAUCGGAAUCAUUGGGCGUAAAGCGCUUGUAGGCGGCUUGUUAAGUCGCGUGUGAAAUCCCUUGGCUCAACCAAGGAAGUGCGCGCGAAACUGGCGAGCUCGAGUGCCGGAGAGGGUCGCGGAAUUCCCGGUGUAGAGGUGAAAUUCGUAGAUAUCGGGAGGAACACCAGUGGCGAAGGCGGCGACCUGGACGGACACUGACGCUGAGGCGCGAAAGCGUGGGGAGCAAACAGG
rnacentral:rRNA from 1 species